CAGUCGCCGCGGUAAAACGGAGGGGGCUAGCGUUGUUCGGAAUUACUGGGCGUAAAGCGCACGUAGGCGGCUUGGUAAGUUAGAGGUGAAAGCCCAGGGCUCAACCCUGGAAUUGCCUUUAAGACUGCCGAGCUAGUAGGUGAGAGAGGUGAGUGGAAUUCCGAGUGUAGAGGUGAAAUUCGUAGAUAUUCGGAAAAACACCAGUGGCGAAGGCGGCUCACUGGCUCAUUCUAGACGCUGAGGUGCGAAAGCGUGGGGAGCAAACAGGAUUAGAUACCCCCGUAGUCCCUGUCUCUUAUAC
rnacentral:rRNA from 1 species